UACGUAGGGAGCAAGCGUUGUUCGGAUUUACUGGGCGUAAAGGGCGCGUAGGCGGCGCGGUAAGUCACUUGUGAAAUCUCUGAGCUUAACUCAGAACGGCCAAGUGAUACUGCAGUGCUAGAGUGCAGAAGGGGCAAUCGGAAUUCUUGGUGUAGCGGUGAAAUGCGUAGAUAUCAAGAGGAACACCUGAGGUGAAGACGGGUUGCUGGGCUGACACUGACGCUGAGGCGCGAAAGCCAGGGGAGCAAACGGGG
rnacentral:rRNA from 1 species